rnacentral:rRNA from 1 species
GACGAACGCUGGCGGCGUGCUUAACACAUGCCAGUCGAACGGAAAGGCCCUGCUUUUGUGGGGUGCUCGAGUGGCGAACGGGUGAGUAACACGUGAGUAACCUGCCCUUGACUUUGGGAUAACUUCAGGAAACUGGGGCUAAUACCGGAUAGGAGCUCCUGCUGCAUGGUGGGGGUUGGAAAGUUUCGGCGGUUGGGGAUGGACUCGCGGCUUAUCAGCUUGUUUGUGGGGUAGUGGCUUACCAAGGCUUUGACGGGUAGCUGGCCUGAGAGGGUGACCGGCCACAUUGGGACUGAGAUACGGCCCAGACUCCUACGGGAGGCAGCAGUGGGGAAUAUUGCACAAUGGGCGGAAGCCUGAUGCAGCAACGCCGCGUGCGGGAUGACGGCCUUCGGGUUGUAAACCGCUUUCGCCUGUGACGAAGCGUGAGUGACGGUAAUGGGUAAAGAAGCACCGGCUAACUAUGUG